AAGUAAAAAGUCGUAACAAGGUUUCCGUAGGUGAACCUGCGGAAGGAUCAUUACCGAGUGUAGGGUUCCUAGCGAGCCCAACCUCCCACCCGUGUUUACUGUACCUUAGUUGCUUCGGCGGGCCCGCCAUUCAUGGCCGCCGGGGGCUCUCAGCCCCGGGCCCGCGCCCGCCGGAGACACCACGAACUCUGUCUGAUCUAGUGAAGUCUGAGUUGAUUGUAUCGCAAUCAGUUAAAACUUUCAACAAUGGAUCUCUUGGUUCCGGCAUCGAUGAAGAACGCAGCGAAAUGCGAUAACUAGUGUGAAUUGCAGAAUUCCGUGAAUCAUCGAGUCUUUGAACGCACAUUGCGCCCCCUGGUAUUCCGGGGGGCAUGCCUGUCCGAGCGUCAUUGCUGCCCAUCAAGCACGGCUUGUGUGUUGGGUCGUCGUCCCCUCUCCGGGGGGGACGGGCCCCAAAGGCAGCGGCGGCACCGCGUCCGAUCCUCGAGCGUAUGGGGCUUUGUCACCCGCUCUGUAGGCCCGGCCGGCGCUUGCCGAACGCAAAUCAAUCUUUUCCAGGUUGACCUCGGAUCAGUAGGGAACCAGAAUUCCA
rnacentral:rRNA from 1 species